CAGUAGCCGCGGUAAAACCAGCAGCCCAAGUGGUGGUCGCGUUUAUUGGGCCUAAAGCGCUCGUAGCCCGGCCGGUAAGUUCCCCGUGAAAUCGGGUCGCCCAACGAUUCGGCUCGCGGGGAAUACUGUCGGUCUUGGGGCCGGGAGACGCCGAGGGUACUCCGGGGGUAGCGGUGAAAUGCUGUAAUCCUCGGGGGACUACCAGUGGCGAAGGCGCUCGGCGAUAACGGGCCUGACGGUGAGGGGCGAAAGCUGGGGGCGCGAACGGGAUUAGAGACCCCUGUAGUCCCUGUCUCUUAUA
rnacentral:rRNA from 1 species